rnacentral:misc_RNA from 1 species
GCUUGAGCUUCAUCUUGAAUCAAAGAGCAUUGCCAGCGCAAAAUAAAGCGAUUGACAAUCGAUCAAUUCUCCAAAAUCGAGAACCGAUCGGCGGCCCAAAAGAGAAUAAAUUAGUAACAAUUAGAUAGUAAUAUCAAAUUGGAACUAGAAAAGUAGGGUUUUUGUCCACUGUCCACAAUGAUCGGAUCCCGCUAAAAAAAAACUAUGAAUGGGAAAGAAAUUAAAGAAGAGAGGAUUAGAAAUUAAGAUGAAAAAGGUUUGAUUUUGUGAUAGAAAAUUAGGGGUUUUCUAUAAAGA